UUAUGUGAGGCGGUUACUCCCUUGUUCCUUAUAGCCUUCAUCUUAUUAUAUUAAAGGUUACUCCCUUGUUCGUUAUAGCCUUCAUCUUAUUAUAUUAAAGGUUACUCCCUUGUUCGUUAUAGCCUUCAUCUUAUUAUAUUAAAGGUUACUCCCUUGUUCGUUAUAGCCUUCAUCUUAUUAUAUUAAAGGUUACUCCCUUCUUCGUUAUAGCCUUCAUCUUAUUAUAUUAAAGGUUACUCCCUUGUUCGUUAUAGCCUUCAUCUUAUUAUAUUAAAGGUUACUCACUUCUUCGUUAUAGCCUUCAUCUUAUUAUAUUAAAGGUUACUCCCUUGUUCGUUAUAGCCUUCAUCUUAUUAUAUUAAAGGUUACUCCCUUGUUCGUUAUAGCCUUCAUCUUAUUAUAUUAAAGGUUACUCCCUUGUUCGUUAUAGCCUUCAUCUUAUUAUAUUAAAGGUUACUCCCUUCUUCGUUAUAGCCUUCAUCUUAUUAUAUUAAAGGUUACUCCCUUGUUCGUUAUAGCCUUCAUCUUAUUAUAUUAAAG